rnacentral:piRNA from 1 species
UUAUUGCUUUAUUGAAUCCUG